ACAUGUUAAUCCCACCUCUUCAUUUUUCUCUUGCAAGCCAAUAUUAUAGAUCAAAAACCUCAAAUCCUCACCUUCCUCUCCUCCAUAAACCGAACCCUAGCUCAUCACCCUAACCUCAUCAUUUCUUCAACCAAAUUCAAUAACCAUGGAGGCAAAUUGAUCCUACGACAAAAAGGGAAACAAGGUUAUGAAUCAUUGAUUUGGAGAUUGAAUUAUGAAGUUUUGAUGGUGAUUCUUGGAAGGGAGUGGUUCGGCCAUAAGCAAACUCAUCAUAUUCAAGUGUUUUAUUUCAGGUGAUAGUACUUUGAAGAGAUGGACUUCCAUUUUUGUUCCGGAAGUCUGCAACAUAUAAAGUAUGUAUUGAAGUACGCUUCAAUUCGUAGCGCUGCAGUAGUCAGUAGAUGUCAGUCUAUAUUUGUUGUUUGUACCGAACGAGAUUCAGCUGUUAACUCUGAUUUUAUAAAAUAUAUAUACACGAUUUAUAAAACUAUGUUUUUACC